GACCCGUAAUCCGGGUUGCGGACAGUGUCUGGUGGGUAGUUUGACUGGGGCGGUCUCCUCCUAAAGAGUAACGGAGGAGCACGAAGGUUGGCUAAUCCUGGUCGGACAUCAGGAGGUUAGUGCAAUGGCAUAAGCCAGCUUGACUGCGAGCGUGACGGCGCGAGCAGGUGCGAAAGCAGGUCAUAGUGAUCCGGUGGUUCUGAAUGGAAGGGCCAUCGCUCAACGGAUAAAAGGUACUCCGGGGAUAACAGGCUGAUACCGCCCAAGAGUUCAUAUCGACGGCGGUGUUUGGCACCUCGAUGUCGGCUCAUCACAUCCUGGGGCUGAAGUAGGUCCCAAGGGUAUGGCUGUUCGCCAUUUAAAGUGGUACGCGAGCUGGGUUUAGAACGUCGUGAGACAGUUCGGUCCCUAUCUGCCGUGGGCGCUGGAGAACUGAGGGGGGCUGCUCCUAGUACGAGAGGACCGGAGUGGACGCAUCACUGGUGUUCGGGUUGUCAUGCCAAUGGCACUGCCCGGUAGCUAAAUGCGGAAGAGAUAAGUGCUGAAAGCAUCUAAGCACGAAACUUGCCCCGAGAUGAGUUCUCCCUGACUCCUUGAGAGUCCUGAAGGAACGUUGAAGACGACGACGUUGAUAGGCCGGGUGUGUAAGCGCAGCGAUGCGUUGAGCUAACCGGUACUAAUGA
rnacentral:rRNA from 1 species